AAACCAACCGGGAUUGCCUUAGUAACGGCGAGUGAAGCGGCAAAAAGCUCAAAUUUGAAAUCUGGUACCUUCGGUGCCCGAGUUGUAAUUUGGAGAGGGCAACUUUGGGGCCGUUCCUUGUCUAUGUUCCUUGGAACAGGACGUCAUAGAGGGUGAGAAUCCCGUGUGGCGAGGAGUGCGGUUCUUUGUAAAGUGCCUUCGAAGAGUCGAGUUGUUUGGGAAUGCAGCUCUAAGUGGGUGGUAAAUUCCAUCUAAAGCUAAAUAUUGGCGAGAGACCGAUAGCGAACAAGUACAGUGAUGGAAAGAUGAAAAGAACUUUGAAAAGAGAGUGAAAAAGUACGUGAAAUUGUUGAAAGGGAAGGGCAUUUGAUCAGACAUGGUGUUUUGUGCCCUCUGCUCCUUGUGGGUAGGGGAAUCUCGCAUUUCACUGGGCCAGCAUCAGUUUGUGGCAGGAUAGAUCCAUAGGAAUGUAGCUUGCCUCGGUAAGUAUUAUAGCCUGUGGGAAUACUGCC
rnacentral:rRNA from 1 species